rnacentral:lncRNA from 1 species
UUACUCUCUGUUCUAACAGAACCUCUGCAAACUUGAGAAAUGAACUAAAAUGUCAAGGAGCUCAAUUCUGUCAUCUGAAAAUGGGUUUGACAAUACCUUCCCUGUCUACCCACAAAGGCAAUAUUGAGAUCAAAGAAACAAACUGAUAUGAAAAAUACAGUGCUUAAAUCCCAGACUGGAUUAAAUCCCAUGAAAACACCAUUUUACUAAAACAUGGUGUCUACUGAGCUUGGAGUCUCCAUCCUAACACUGAUAUUAAACUUGUCAGUUGGGGCUUCAGUUAUUCUGUUGCUGUCAUUAACAAUAAUAAUAACAAUAUUAACAGAGAAUGACAAUAUACUACAGAAUAAAAGUGAGACACAAUUCACUGUAAGUGAGUCAUGCAGCAAAUAAUAACACGGUGGGUCUGGUGUAAUGUCCAGUUCCUCCUCAUUGGGGAUUUGGUCACUUCUCUGCCUCUGUCUGCAAUCCCCCUACCUGUCCAUCUCCAGAUUGUGUAUCUCCUAAUGCUUGUCCACGGUGUUUCCUAUAAUUAUCCAGACUCAUUGAGAUGGUUAGUUUCCUGUAUCUAUUUGCACUUAACUACAGAUAAUUUCCGGAUCCCAUGGAAUUUGCAUCAGUGAGUUUCACAUCUCUGCUGCCCCUUGGGAAAUUCUGAAACACUGGUUAUUUCCUCAGGGAAUGUUGGUAAUGCUACGUGCUUCCUAUUCUGCUUGGUUCCAUUUAUUGAAGGUCUACCGUAUGUUUAAGAUUGUUCGGGACUAACUGGAUGCAAAUAUGCAUCACCUGUGAGGUAUUACCUGGAAGGAACACUUAAUCCACCUUUCUAUCCUUUCCUGUAUGGUACUGCAUUUUUCUGAGCUGUUUUGUGAGGAUAAGAGGGGUUUGAUAGGCCGAAAUAUUUGGCAAGAUGAGAAAAUCAUUUAUGUUUUUGAAUAGACUUGAAAAUUACCUCUUUGUUGUUCAGAAUCAUUAGAGCCUAAGGUACUUGCUGGGUCUCCUCAUUAUCGCUAUUAUUGACUGAGUAUCUAAUAUGUGCUGAGUACUUUAUAUGCACAAUCUCAUAUAAUCCUCAUAAAGACUCUUUGAAGUAUUUUAUUUUACAGAGGCAAAAAUCCACAUCAAGAGGUGAUUUCACCACUUUUCCAAGGUCACACAGCUAACUGGGUUCAGGGUCACAUUUUAAUCCUGGUCCUAUCUGCCUGUAGCCAACAUCAUGACUGAAUCAUGCUCCUCUGACCUCCUUCUUGCCCAUCCCAACUGUGCCCAUUCAGGACUCUAAUGUUAAACUCUUGAGUGUCCAUUUUUAAGGCAGAUUUUUUUCAAAGUUAAAGAUUUAAUUAAAUAUAGGGUUUCAUUAAGGUUACUUCUGAAAGGUACACCUGGCAAUUACGUGAUGGAGUCUUCACUUUAAUCUGUUAAAAAUGUUAUCAACAUGUGUUCUCGACAUCAUACAUUUUUAGAGUAAGAUAUGACAUUAAAGAGCAUUUAACGGAGGGCUGAAUUUCCUCUAUAGCAUCUUUGCUCUCGAGCUUCACUUCUGUUUGAACAAAGCAUUCCCACUGUCUGCCCAGGCAUCCCAUUUCCCCCCUUGGACAUUUGAGGCUUUGAGACUGAAUCCCUGAUCAGCAAAACGUUGCUAUUACACUGGAGAGGGGAUGGCCCACGGAAGUCAUAUGUCACCCACACCUGCACACGGGAUGCACUUCAGUUACUAGGAGUGGCGAUGAAAAAUUUCUUUUGUCCUUCCCUCCCUUGUUUAGAUUAUUAGCCACUGAAAUACAGAAAUGUAACUUUGCAUAAGGGUAUACUAUUUCACUGGGUGCAUUCUUCCCCCAACGGAAAAUGUCUAUCCUGAACUGGUAGGAUUCUGAAAGACUCAGCUUUACCAGCACAACGCCGCUGAUGAGUCUUUUUUGAUGAUUAGUGAUGAUAGCAGGCUAACGUUUCUUCAUGCAUUAUCAGAUGCUGUGUUAAGUGUUUAGGGCAUUCUUUUGUUUAACCCCUUGAAAGGGAAAUACCACCUACGGAUGGGAAGAGGACUAAGUGAGAUAAAGCAGAAAAAGCACUUGAAACCACGCCCACCCGUCUGGACACCCCGUAAUCCUUAGCGAAUGCAGUCAUGAUUAUGAUCAGCUACUUCCUCACUCUUAAAGGGGAGGCAGGGAGCAGGCUAGUAAUGGAUAAUCCGCCUCAAUAUUAAGUCACAUUUUUUUUUUUUUUUUUUUACUUGAUACCAUUUUCAACCUGCUGUGAAACUCUAUCCAGAUCUUAACAUGACCCUGUAUCUACUCUGUGGGCCAUUUCAAUGUGAAGUGUUCUACCUUUCACUGCUGAUCCAGUCUCUUUGGGGCAGAGGCUGAUCUGAGGUCUGAUCACAGUGAAAGAGAAUCUACUGCCAACAAGAAAAAGUGAGCCUGCCAGUCCUGAUCGGAGACUUGACCUUAAAGUGUUGAUAGAGCAGCUAGAGGAUCUGAACACUGGGAAGGAGCAAGUCACAACAGCUCCCACAGGCCCCGGGGACUAAAGGGCAGACAAUGACGUGCAUUUCAGUAAUAACGUCCAGACAAUGUAUUGCAGAGAAACCGGGGGACCAGCCCACAACACUCAGCAUUCUUAACUUGUUUACCCAGAAAAUAAAGGAAGAAGUCAGUGACUAGUAAAAAAUUGUUUCAUUAACAAGCUUACUCUUGGGUGCAACUUCCUUUAUUGAAUCCCAGAAUUUUCACCCGCCACUGAUCUCGAUUUGUAAUGAUGCAUCCACAAAUCUCAUUUUUCCUGCUUUCUUUUAACAUGGGGAGAAGAAUAUCCAGGGGCUAUAGGUAAUCUUUCAAAUCAGUUAUAGACUGUGAUAUUGGGGAUGCCAUAUAAGAACAGAAAAAAAGCUUAUUACUUUUCCAGAUUCCAAUCAAUUAAAUAUUUGUAAAAAUGCUUUGAGUUAGCAAAAUGUUGAAUGGUAAAGGGAUGGAAACUUACCUAAUAGAAAACCUUUCAUAAUGGUUUAGUAAUUCUAAGAUUAUAGGUCAGUCUGCACGGCCUCGAGAUCAUAGUGAAUUAGUCAUUUCUUACGCAGCAACUGCCAGAAAACAAGAGGAAAUGAAUAAGAAGAGAUUUGUGAAAAUUGGAAAUGACAGAAAAAGGAAAACUUGGCUUCUUAUUAUGUGUAUCAGGCACUUCAUGAAAAAAAUUAACCUUGUUUACUUUUAAAAAAUCAAAAUAAUACAUGUUCAACAUUUUAAAACUCAGAAAUAAUAACAAAACUUUUAGUACCAACUUCUCUCCCCCCCAUUCCCAAAUCCAUUUCCAUUUUCAACCGUUUUAGCAGUAUUUUCUGCUAUUUACUUCCAUGCAUUAACAUAUAUACAUUUUUAAUGCUACUUUUUGAUUAUUUGAAAAAAUUUUAGACAUUGCCUACUGAAUAAUGAUUUCCUGUAGGGAAAAAUGAGGAUUCCCUCUUUUAACCCCUUUCCCCAUGAACCUAAUAUGACUCUAUCCAAAUUUCUAGUUAACUCAGUAAAGUUAGGACAGUACCCAAUUCUCAUCCAGGUUGAAAAGUUGAAGAGAAUGAUGAUUUUUUUUUUUUUUUUAACUUGGCUACUCGGUUUGUUUUUGUUUUGUUAUUUUUGGCCAUGCCGGGCAUGCAGAAGUUCUGGGGCCAGGGACCGAACCCGAGCCACAACCGUAAUCAAAGCCACAGUAGUGACAAUGCUGGAUCCUUAACACACUAAGCCUCCGGAGACCUCCAUUGGGCUGCUUGUUUUUAAUUGAAAUUACUGGCAAAGCAGCAAAUUAGCCAUGCUACACGUGUAACUCAGCAUCAAGCUAUGAUGACACAUACAACUGGUCCUCGGUGCCUUUCUUUGUUUCUCUGAAGUACAGACUGAGUUCAAGGUGUCAGCAGUCCACACAUUGUCUGGACCCAUCCAGGUGAGAUGAAACUGGAGGUCACAGCUGCUGAGCUUGUCUUUGGUGAUGGUGGCGGGCACUGGGGCUGUGUCAGCACUCCAGGCUUAUACAAUGACUAUAUAUUGGCUGGUCUAUGAAAAUAUUUCUAUUUUAAAAAAAGUUUUAAAAUGCUAUCUAAAAAUUCAAAAUAGUAAGUAUUCAUUGACAGUUAAAAACACCUUAUAUGAUUAUAUAAAUAUUAAAACGAAUAUAAAGAAGACAAUUAUUCUUGGUACUAUUUCUGUAAUUUAAUCAAUUAAAGCUAUACCUAGAUCUAAUAUCACGACACUGGAAAAUUUCUAAAGAGUGUAAUUUCUUUCUUCCCUUUUUUUUCUUUUUGCCUUUUUUUCUUAAGGCUGCACCUGUGGCAUAUGGAAAUUCCCAGGCUAGGGGUCAAAGUGGAGCUGUAGCUGCCAGCCUACACCACAGCCACAGCAACACCAGAUCUGAGCCACACCUGCAAACUACACUGCAGCUCUUAGCAAUGCCAGAUCCUUUAACCCACUGAAUGAGGCCAGGGAUGGAACCCGCAUCCUCAUGGAUACUAGUCAGAUUCUUAAUCUGAUGAGCCACAAUGGGAACUCCCUGAAAAGCGUAAUUUUUAAUGGUCUUAUUAUUUUAGUUUUUUCCCUCUAAAUUGCCUACAAUCUUCUUUAAAGUUGCAUUUUUUGUGUGUGUGGUUAAUAAAUUUGACAUUUUGACAAUCUUAAUUGAAUUUUCUCUGUUGACCAUAAUUUUUUUACUGAGAAAAUAUUCUCUCUAAAGCUGCUGAGGUAUUUGUAAUUAUAGAGUAAAUUCUCCUUGAUGAAGGAUAUCCUUAAAGAAGUUUACUGAAUUGUUCAAAUCUUUUAUUCUAUUUUAAACAUACUGCUUUAUACCCUCCAUGCAGAAUGCUUCUUUUUUCCACUUUUAGGAAACAAAACAUAUCAAAUAGGCUUUCUCUAUUUUUGCAAUUAUUUUAAUGUUUUGCCAAAUUUAGAUGCUGCAACAUAAUAGAUUUUCUCAACCUUAUUCCAUUUCACUCUGAAGAAGUUCAUAAAAAGAUUUUUCUUCCAAGUCGAGAUAUUUCAAAACACAAUUACAGAAUUUCAAAAUUAAAUUCUGUUCACCAUGAAGCUACCAUAAUUUGUUCAAUUCCUCCCUUGCUUUUGUAGAAAUACAUUUCAAUGUCUUUUCAUCUGCAAAGUUUGUUUCAAGAAUUGUAAUUACCAAAAGCUUCAAAAUCCACUUUGAAGCUCCAUUACUGGUUAAUAUUUUUGCAAAAGUUUUCUAACUAUAUUUGAGCCAAAUUUAGAGUUCUUAUUU